GACGAACGCUGGCGGCGUGCUUAACACAUGCAAGUCGAGCGGUAAGGCCCUUUCGGGGGUACGACGAGCGGCGAACGGGUAGGAGUAACAACGUGGGUGGACCUCGCCUCCUAGCUCUGGGAGUAAGCCUGGGAAGGCUGGGUCGUAAUACCGGAUAUGACCUCGCGGUGCAUGUUGCGGGGUGGGAAAGCCUUGUGCGGCUAGGGAGUGGGCCCGGCGGCCUAUCAGCUUGUUGGUGGGGUGAUGGCCUACCUAGGCGACGACGGGUAGCCGGCCUGAGAGGGCGACCGGCCACACUGGGACUGAGACACGGCCCAGACUCCUACGGGAGGGCAGCAGUGGGGAAUCUUGCGCAAUGGGCGAAAGCCUGACGCAGCGACGCCGCGUGAGGGAUGACGGCCUGGUGUAAC
rnacentral:rRNA from 1 species